rnacentral:tRNA from 1 species
AAGGAUGUAACUCAGUGGUAGAGCCUGUGCCUAGCAAGUACAAGGCCUUGGGUUUGAUCCUCAGCACAGUAA